rnacentral:lncRNA from 1 species
GGAGAACUGUCUGGAGCCAGCGAGGCCGGAGGAGGAAGAGCAGGAGGAAGGAGGGGAAGCCGCCGCUGCCGCCGCCGCCGCGCUCCGGGGACCUGGGCGCGCGCGCUCCGCUCGCCCGUGACCGUGCCUCUAGCCCCAGGCCCACAUUCCUGCCCAGAACCACGCGCGCAAGCAGCUUCGGGGGCUUUGUCCCCAGGGCUGGCCACGGACCCCGCCCCCUCUGUCACUGCCAGACCCUGACGCCCUCCAGCGCGCGCGUGCUCCGGCGAUCAGAGAGCCUUGGUGAGCGAGAAGCAGCGUCCUUUCCCCUGCUCUGGGUCUGGGGGUGCGGUAGGGGGCGUGGAGCAGCCGUGUUGAGUCCAUGACAGCUGUCCUCGCGGCGGCGCCCGGCGUCUCUGUAACAGAAUUAAUGACUUACACGCAGGCCGCCAAUUGGCGCGGCCUGGGGGAGGGGCGACCCAGCUGAGACCGAGGGGACAAGGUUGCAGUCCUACAGCGCAGCCUCUGCUUGGGGUGGGGGUCUCGGGGGCCAGGAUUCCGAGCCGCGAGAGCCCCGCCUUCGCCCCGCCUCCAGUCCCCUGUGCCCGCAACUCUGUGAUGUGCUCUCUGCAAAACCAGCUGAUGGAUCCUUGGGUUCCUGGACCAACUCUGCCCCUCCAGUUGGCCCCUGAGCCCCUCCUGGCACAGCCCUGACUCUGGGCAGCCAGGGUACUUGCCUGGUGCGGG